rnacentral:lncRNA from 1 species
AGUUAAAAACUAGAGGCUCUAAAGAGCCUGUGUCGCUCACCUUGGUCUAUGUGAAUAUUAAACAAUGGACACAGAUGGAUUCAUGACAAAAUUGUGUUUUGGUGAUGGUGAUGUGUUUGUAGAUCUUACUUUACUAAACAUUCUUGCUGCUUACAAUUAUCUCUAUCUAUAACAGUACUUUCUGUGGAAAAUGUUAUUGAAAAUCUUCAAAUUUUAAGAAAAUUGUUAAAAAUUUACUAUGAAGGGCAAUAACUCCUUAGGGGGUCAAUUGACUAUUUUGGUUAUACUGACUUAUUUUUAGUUCUUACUUUGCUGUACAUUAUUGCUGUUUACAGUUUAUCUCUAUCUAUAAUAAUAUUCAAGAUAAUAACAAAAAAACAGCAAAAUUUCCUCAAAAUAACCAAUUCAGGGGCAGCAACCUAGCAACCCAUUAUCCAAUUCAUCUGAAAAUUCCAGGGCAGAUAGAUCGUGACCUGAUCAACAAUUUUACUUCCUGUCAGAUUUGCUCUUAAUGCUUUGGUUUU